ACAUGCAAGUCGAGCGGUAGAGAGAAGCUUGCUUCUCUUGAGAGCGGCGGACGGGUGAGUAAUGCCUAGGAAUCUGCCUGGUAGUGGGGGAUAACGUUCGGAAACGGACGCUAAUACCGCAUACGUCCUACGGGAGAAAGCAGGGGACCUUCGGGCCUUGCGCUAUCAGAUGAGCCUAGGUCGGAUUAGCUAGUUGGUGGGGUAAUGGCUCACCAAGGCGACGAUCCGUAACUGGUCUGAGAGGAUGAUCAGUCACACUGGAACUGAGACACGGUCCAGACUCCUACGGGAGGCAGCAGUGGGGAAUAUUGGACAAUGGGCGAAAGCCUGAUCCAGCCAUGCCGCGUGUGUGAAGAAGGUCUUCGGAUUGUAAAGCACUUUAAGUUGGGAGGAAGGGUUGUAGAUUAAUACUCUGCAAUUUUGACGUUACCGACAGAAUAAGCACCGGCUAACUCUGUGCCAGCAGCCGCGGUAAUACAGAGGGUGCAAGCGUUAAUCGGAAUUACUGGGCGUAAAGCGCGCGUAGGUGGUUAGUUAAGUUGGAUGUGAAAUCCCCGGGCUCAACCUGGGAACUGCAUUCAAAACUGACUGACUAGAGUAUGGUAGAGGGUGGUGGAAUUUCCUGUGUAGCGGUGAAAUGCGUAGAUAUAGGAAGGAACACCAGUGGCGAAGGCGACCACCUGGACUGAUACUGACACUGAGGUGC
rnacentral:rRNA from 1 species